ensembl:lncRNA novel transcript, antisense to CLTCL1
GCAGCCCUCAGCACCUGGACAAGGAGGUCAGGGUCGGCUUGUGCUGCACGUGGCCACGGCUGCCAGACUGCAAGGAGUACACGGUACCUUUGGGAUGUUGACACGGGACCAGAAAAGCUCCAGAUGCUCCAGCAUCUUCUGUGGCUUGAAUUUGGAGUAGAGGAUGGCCAGCUCAGUGAACAUGCCCAUGUGGGCCCGCUCCAGGCCCAGGGCCGCUUCCAACAGCAAGAUCAGCUCCUCAAAGUAGCCACGAUCCUAGCAGACCAACAGCCACGCGUGGGGCAGAGUGAUUGCAUGCCUCCUGCAGCCACCCUCCAGCCCAUGCCCACGCCGCAGGGACUGUGCUUGUGACUGGGAAUGAUCCCGAGGAGGCAUGUGUGAAGAAAACGUGUAUACAUACUGUGCUACAGAUCAUGCCAUUUACUUAGCAACUUAUUGGAUCAUCUGACAAUUACCAGUGGCACACUGCACUACAAUUUUCAAGUUUAGGCCAUGCUUCAUAUUUGCAGAUGCAACACUGUGAUGGUCACGAGCUAAGGGGAUGACCGUGCCUCUCUGUGGAGUGUUUAGGCAUCACUUGUCAUCUGCAUUACCAGCAGAGAUCAUCUGGUCACCUGGUAAUAGCACAUCAGCUCCUCCAGCUCAUCUGCAUGAAUGACGAUGUGAAGACCACACAGCUGUGCGAAGCGGAACUCUUGUCCAUCCAUGCAGGCAAAGCACACCUAGGGGACGGAGGGCAAGCGUGAGGGUCCCCAAGACAGGACACAGCACCACAGCAGCUGACUUACAAGGCACACAGUUGCAAAUGCAGAAAUACCAGCAGUGGGGUAUUUUAAGUUGGAUUCUGAACAAGUAGCUAACUCUAUGAUGAAUUGUACAAGACUGGGAGAAAAAAUAUGACAUUUGUAAUCUGCAGGCCAAGGGGGUGCUUGAGACCAUGGAAAGAAUAAAGUUUGUGCAUUAC